UACGAAGGGUGCUAGCGUUGCUCGGAAUCACUGGGCGUAAAGCGCACGUAGGCGGACUCUUAAGUCGGUGGUGAAAUCCUGGAGCUCAACUCCAGAACUGCCUUCGAUACUGAGAGUCUCGAGUCCGAGAGAGGUGAGUGGAACUGCGAGUGUAGAGGUGAAAUUCGUAGAUAUUCGCAAGAACACCAGUGGCGAAGGCGGCUUACUGGUCCGGUUCUGACGCUGAGGCGCGAAAGCGUGGGGAGCAAACAGG
rnacentral:rRNA from 1 species